AUUGAACGCUGGCGGAAUGCUUUACACAUGCAAGUCGAACGGCAGCACGGACUUCGGUCUGGUGGCGAGUGGCGAACGGGUGAGUAACAUAUCGGAACGUAUCCAAUAAUGGGGGAUAACUAAUCGAAAGGUUGGCUAAUACCGCAUACGCCCUACGGGGGAAAGCAGGGGAUCUUCGGACCUUGCGUUAAUGGAGCGGCUGAUAUCUGAUUAGCUAGUUGGUGAGGUAAAGGCUCACCAAGGCGACGAUCAGUAGCUGGUCUGAGAGGACGACCAGCCACACUUGAACUGAGACACGGUCCAGACUCCUACGGGAGGCAGCAGUGGGGAAUUUUGGACAAUGGGCGCAAGCCUGAUCCAGCCAUUCCGCGUGAGUGAAGAAGGCCUUCGGGUUGUAAAGCUCUUUCGCAAGGGAAGAAAACUUACUUUCUAAUAAAGAGUGAGGUUGACGGUACCUUGUUAAGAAGCACCGGCUAACUACGUGCCAGCAGCCGCAGUAA
rnacentral:rRNA from 1 species